CCUACGGGUGACAGCAGUGAGGAAUAUUGGUCAAUGGCCGGAAGGCUGAACCAGCCAUGCCGCGUGAAGGUCAGUGCCCUAUGGGCGUUAAACUUCUUUUGUGCGGGAGCAAUAAUGGUCACGUGUGGCCAGACGAGAGUACCGUACGAAUAAGCAUCGGCUAACUCCGUGCCAGCAGCCGCGGUAAUACGGGGGGAGCAAGCGGUAUCCGGAUUUAUUGGGGUUAAAGGGUGCGUAAGCUGGGAUGUAAGUCAACGGUGAAAUGCCUCCGCUCAACGGGGUGAAGUGCCAUUGAUACUGCCCUGCUUGAAUGCGGAUGCGGUGGGAGGAAUGUGUGGUGUAGCGGUGAAAUGCAUAGAUAUCACACAGAACACCGAUUGCGAAGGCAUCUCACGAAUCCGCGAUUGACGCUGAGGCACGAAAGCGUGGGUAUCAAACAGGAUUAGAUACCCGAGUAGUC
rnacentral:rRNA from 1 species